GGGUUGUGAGGUUAAGCGACUAAGCGUACACGGUGGAUGCCCUGGCAGUCAGAGGCGAUGAAGGACGUGCUAAUCUGCGAUAAGCGCCGGUAAGGUGAUAUGAACCGUUAUAACCGGCGAUUUCCGAAUGGGGAAACCCAGUGUGAUUCGUCACACUAUCAUUAACUGAAUCCAUAGGUUAAUGAGGCGAACCGGGGGAACUGAAACAUCUAAGUACCCCGAGGAAAAGAAAUCAACCGAGAUUCCCCCAGUAGCGGCGAGCGAACGGGGAGGAGCCCAGAGCCUGAAUCAGCAUGUGUGUUAGUGGAAGCGUCUGGAAAGGCGCGCGAUACAGGGUGACAGCCCCGUACACAAAAGCGCAUGUGCUGUGAGCUCGAUGAGUAGGGCGGGACACGUGGUAUCCUGUCUGAAUAUGGGGGGACCAUCCUCCAAGGCUAAAUACUCCUGACUGACCGAUAGUGAACCAGUACCGUGAGGGAAAGGCGAAAAGAACCCCGGCGAGGGGAGUGAAAAAGAACCUGAAACCGUGUACGUACAAGCAGUGGGAGCACCCUUCGGGGUGUGACUGCGUACCUUUUGUAUAAUGGGUCAGCGACUUAUAUUCUGUAGCAAGGUUAACCGUAUAGGGGAGCCGGAGGGAAACCGAGUCUUAAUUGGGCGUUAAGUUGCAGGGUAUAGACCCGAAACCCGGUGAUCUAGCCAUGGGCAGGUUGAAGGUUGGGUAACACUAACUGGAGGACCGAACCGACUAAUGUUGAAAAAUUAGCGGAUGACCUGUGGCUGGGGGUGAAAGGCCAAUCAAACCGGGAGAUAGCUGGUUCUCCCCGAAAGCUAUUUAGGUAGCGCCUCGUGAAUUCAUCUCCGGGGGUAGAGCACUGUUUCGGCUAGGGGGCCAUCCCGGCUUACCAACCCGAUGCAAACUGCGAAUACCGGAGAAUGUUAUCACGGGAGACACACGGCGGGUGCUAACGUCCGUCGUGAAGAGGGAAACAACCCAGACCGCCAGCUAAGGUCCCAAAGUCAUGGUUAAGUGGGAAACGAUGUGGGAAGGCCCAGACAGCCAGGAUGUUGGCUUAGAAGCAGCCAUCAUUUAAAGAAAGCGUAAUAGCUCACUGGUCGAGUCGGCCUGCGCGGAAGAUGUAACGGGGCUAAACCAUGCACCGAAGCUGCGGCAGCGAACGUAUCACCCAAGACAACUUUACGGAGUUGACGAUUGACGGAGCGAAGCGACGUCAAAGCGUUCAUUAAAGUCGAGUUGGCUUAGGGAUACGUUCGUUGGGUAGGGGAGCGUUCUGUAAGCCUGUGAAGGUGUGUCGUGAGGCAUGCUGGAGGUAUCAGAAGUGCGAAUGCUGACAUAAGUAACGAUAAAGCGGGUGAAAAGCCCGCUCGCCGGAAGACCAAGGGUUCCUGUCCAACGUUAAUCGGGGCAGGGUGAGUCGACCCCUAAGGCGAGGCCGAAAGGCGUAGUCGAUGGGAAACGGGUUAAUAUUCCCGUACUUGGUGUUACUGCGAAGGGGGGACGGAGAAGGCUAUGUUGGCCGGGCGACGGUUGUCCCGGUUUAAGCGUGUAGGUGUGUGUUCCAGGUAAAUCCGGUUCACUUUAACACUGAGGCGUGACGACGAGGCACUACGGUGCUGAAGCAACAAAUGCCCUGCUUCCAGGAAAAGCCUCUAAGCAUCAGGUAACAUCAAAUCGUACCCCAAACCGACACAGGUGGUCAGGUAGAGAAUACCAAGGCGCUUGAGAGAACUCGGGUGAAGGAACUAGGCAAAAUGGUGCCGUAACUUCGGGAGAAGGCACGCUGACACGUAGGUGAAGUGAUUUACUCAUGGAGCUGAAGUCAGUCGAAGAUACCAGCUGGCUGCAACUGUUUAUUAAAAACACAGCACUGUGCAAACACGAAAGUGGACGUAUACGGUGUGACGCCUGCCCGGUGCCGGAAGGUUAAUUGAUGGGGUCAGCGCAAGCGAAGCUCCUGAUCGAAGCCCCGGUAAACGGCGGCCGUAACUAUAACGGUCCUAAGGUAGCGAAAUUCCUUGUCGGGUAAGUUCCGACCUGCACGAAUGGCGUAAUGAUGGCCAGGCUGUCUCCACCCGAGACUCAGUGAAAUUGAACUCGCUGUGAAGAUGCAGUGUACCCGCGGCAAGACGGAAAGACCCCGUGAACCUUUACUAUAGCUUGACACUGAACAUUGAGCCUUGAUGUGUAGGAUAGGUGGGAGGCUUUGAAGUGUGGACGCCAGUCUGCAUGGAGCCGACCUUGAAAUACCACCCUUUAAUGUUUGAUGUUCUAACGUGGACCCGUAAUCCGGGUUGCGGACAGUGUCUGGUGGGUAGUUUGACUGGGGCGGUCUCCUCCUAAAGAGUAACGGAGGAGCACGAAGGUUGGCUAAUCCUGGUCGGACAUCAGGAGGUUAGUGCAAUGGCAUAAGCCAGCUUGACUGCGAGCGUGACGGCGCGAGCAGGUGCGAAAGCAGGUCAUAGUGAUCCGGUGGUUCUGAAUGGAAGGGCCAUCGCUCAACGGAUAAAAGGUACUCCGGGGAUAACAGGCUGAUACCGCCCAAGAGUUCAUAUCGACGGCGGUGUUUGGCACCUCGAUGUCGGCUCAUCACAUCCUGGGGCUGAAGUAGGUCCCAAGGGUAUGGCUGUUCGCCAUUUAAAGUGGUACGCGAGCUGGGUUUAGAACGUCGUGAGACAGUUCGGUCCCUAUCUGCCGUGGGCGCUGGAGAACUGAGGGGGGCUGCUCCUAGUACGAGAGGACCGGAGUGGACGCAUCACUGGUGUUCGGGUUGUCAUGCCAAUGGCACUGCCCGGUAGCUAAAUGCGGAAGAGAUAAGUGCUGAAAGCAUCUAAGCACGAAACUUGCCCCGAGAUGAGUUCUCCCUGAGACUUAGAGUCUCCUGAAGGAACGUUGAAGACGACGACGUUGAUAGGCCGGGUGUGUAAGCGCAGCGAUGCGUUGAGCUAACCGGUACUAAUGAACCGUGAGGCUUAACCUUACA
rnacentral:rRNA from 2 species